GAUGAACGCUGGCGGCGUGCCUAAUACAUGCAAGUCGAGCGAACGGACGAGAAGCUUGCUUCUCUGAUGUUAGCGGCGGACGGGUGAGUAACACGUGGAUAACCUACCUAUAAGACUGGGAUAACUUCGGGAAACCGGAGCUAAUACCGGAUGAUAUUUUGAACCGCAUGGUUCAAAAGUGAAAGACGGCCUUGCUGUCACUUAUAGAUGGAUCCGCGCUGCAUUAGCUAGUUGGUAAGGUAACGGCUUACCAAGGCAACGAUGCAUAGCCGACCUGAGAGGGUGAUCGGCCACACUGGAACUGAGACACGGUCCAGACUCCUACGGGAGGCAGCAGUAGGGAAUCUUCCGCAAAGGGCGAAAGCCUGACGGAGCAACGCCGCGUGAGUGAUGAAGGUCUUCGGAUCGUAAAACUCUGUUAUUAGGGAAGAACAUAUGUGUAAGUAACUGUGCACAUCUUGACGGUACCUAAUCAGAAAGCCACGGCUAACUACGUG
rnacentral:rRNA from 1 species